GCAUUGGUAGUUCAGAGGCAGAAUUCUUGGCUUUCAUGCAGAAGACCCAGGUUCAAUUCCUGGCCAAUGCA